GAUGAACGCUGGCGGCGUGCCUAAUACAUGCAAGUCGAGCGAACGGACGAGAAGCUUGCUUCUCUGAUGUUAGCGGCGGACGGGUGAGUAACACGUGGAUAACCUACCUAUAAGACUGGGAUAACUUCGGGAAACCGUAGCUAAUACCGGAUAAUAUUUUGAACCGCAUGGUUCAAAAGUGAAAGACGGUCUUGCUGUAACUUAUAGAUGGAUCCGCGCUGCAUUAGCUAGUUGGUAAGGUAACGGCUUACCAAGGCAACGAUGCAUAGCCGACCUGAGAGGGUGAUCGGCCACACUGGAACUGAGACACGGUCCAGACUCCUACGGGAGGCAGCAGUAGGGAAUCUUCCGCAAUGGGCGAAAGCCUGACGGAGCAACGCCGCGUGAGUGAUGAAGGUCGUCGGAUCGUAAAACUCUGUUAUUAGGGAAGAACAUAUGUGUAAGUAACUGUGCACAUCUUGACGGUACCUAAUCAGAAAGCCACGGCUAACUACG
rnacentral:rRNA from 1 species